rnacentral:rRNA from 1 species
UACGAAGGGGGCUAGCGUUGUUCGGAAUUACUGGGCGUAAAGCGCGUGUAGGCGGGUCUUUAAGUCAGGGGUGAAAUGCCAAGGCUCAACCUUGGAACUGCCUUUGAUGCUGGAGAUCUUGAGUCCGGGAGAGGUGAGUGGAACUGCGAGUGUAGAGGUGAAAUUCGUAGAUAUUCGCAAGAACACCAGUGGCGAAGGCGGCUCACUGGCCCGGAACUGACGCUGAGACGCGAAAGCGUGGGGAGCAAACAGG